rnacentral:rRNA from 1 species
UUCCGCAAUGGGCGAAAGCCUGACGGAGCAAUACCGGCGUGAGGGAAGAAGGUCUUUGGAUCGUAAACCUCUUUUCUCAGGGAAGAAGUUCUGACGGUACCUGAGGAAUAAGCCUCGGCUAACUCCGUGCCAGCAGCCGCCGGUAAUACGGAGGAGGCAAGCGUUAUCCGGAAUUAUUGGGCGUAAAGCGUUCGCAGGUGGCUCGUCAAGUCCCUGCUGUCAAAGACCGGAGCUUAACUCCGGGUAGGCGGUGGAAACUGAAGAGCUAGAGUGCGGUAGGGGUAGAGGGAAUUCCCAGCGUAGCGGGUGAAAUGCGUAGAGAUUGGGAAGAACACCGGUGGCGAAAGCGCUCUACUAGGCCGCAACUGACCACUCAGGGACGAAAGCUAGGGGGAGCGAAAGGGGAUUAGAUACCCCAGUAGUC